GCCCUUGACUCUGGGAUAAGCCCGGGAAACUGGGUCUAAUACUGGAUGCUACAUGUCACCGCAUGGUGGUGUGUGGAAAGGGUUUACUGGUCUUGGAUGGGCUCACGGCCUAUCAGCUUGUUGGUGAGGUAAUGGCUCACCAAGGCGACGACGGGUAGCCGGCCUGAGAGGGUGACCGGCCACACUGGGACUGAGACACGGCCCAGACUCCUACGGGAGGCAGCAGUGGGGAAUAUUGCACAAUGGGCGAAAGCCUGAUGCAGCGACGCCGCGUGAGGGAUGACGGCCUUCGGGUUGUAAACCUCUUUCAGCAGGGAAGAAGCCACAAGUGACGGUACCUGCAGAAGAAGCGCCGGCUAACUACGUGCCAGCAGCCGCGGUAAUACGUAGGGCGCAAGCGUUGUCCGGAAUUAUUGGGCGUAAAGAGCUCGUAGGCGGUUUGUCGCGUCUGCUGUGAAAGCCCGGGGCUUAACCCCGGGUGUGCAGUGGGUACGGGCAGACUAGAGUGCAGUAGGGGAGACUGGAAUUCCUGGUGUAGCGGUGGAAUGCGCAGAUAUCAGGAGGAACACCGAUGGCGAAGGCAGGUCUCUGGGCUGUUACUGACGCUGAGGAGCGAAAGCAUGGGGAGCGAACAGGAUUAGAUACCCUGGUAGUCCAUGCCGUAAACGUUGGGCACUAGGUGUGGGGGACAUUCCACGUUUUCCGCGCCGUAGCUAACGCAUUAAGUGCCCCGCCUGGGGAGUACGGCCGCAAGGCUAAAACUCAAAGGAAUUGACG
rnacentral:rRNA from 1 species